UCAAUAAGCGGAGGAAAAGAAACUAACAAGGAUUCCCCUAGUAACGGCGAGUGAAGCGGGAUGAGCUCAAAUUUAAAAUCUGGCGGCCCAAGGUCGUCCGAGUUGUAAUCUAGAGAAGUGUCUUCCGUGCUGGACCGUGUACAAGUCCCUUGGAACAGGGCGUCGUAKAGGGUGAGAAUCCCGUCUGUGACACGGACUACCAGUGCUUUGUGAUGCACUCUCGACGAGUCGAGUUGUUUGGGAAUGCAGCUCAAACUGGGUGGUAAAUUCCAUCUAAAGCUAAAUAUUGGCGAAAGACCGAUAGCGAACAAGUACCGUGAGGGAAAGAUGAAAAGCACUUUGGAAAGAGAGUUAAACAGUACGUGAAAUUGUUGAAAGGGAAACGCUUGAAGUCAGUCGCGUCUUCAGGGAUUCAGUCUUGCUUUUCUGCCUGACGCACUUCCCUGGGUGACGGGCCAGCAUCAGUUUCGGCUGUCGGAAAAAGGCUUGAGGAAGGUGGCACCCUCCGGGGUGUGUUAUAGCCUCUCGUCGUAUACGACAGCUGGGACUGAGGUCUGCAGCACGCCUUCAAUGGCCGGGGUUCGCCACGUAACGUGCUUAGAUGCUGGCGUAUGGCUUAA
rnacentral:rRNA from 1 species